rnacentral:rRNA from 1 species
UACUAUAGCUUGACACUGAACAUUGAGCCUUGAUGUGUAGGAUAGGUGGGAGGCUUUGAAGCGUGGACGCCAGUCUGCGUGGAGCCAACCUUGAAAUACCACCCUUUAAUGUUUGAUGUUCUAACGUUGGCCCCUGACCGGGGUUGCGGACAGUGUCUGGUGGGUAGUUUGACUGGGGCGGUCUCCUCCCAAAGCGUAACGGAGGAGCACGAAGGUUAGCUAAUCCUGGUCGGACAUCAGGAGGUUAGUGCAAUG